CCUACGGGAGGCAGCAGUGGGGAAUUUUGGACAAUGGGCGCAAGCCUGAUCCAGCAAUGCCGCGUGAGUGAAGAAGGCCUUCGGGUUGUAAAGCUCUUUUGUCAGGGAAGAAAAGGCUACGGAUAAUACCUGUGGCUCAUGACGGUACCUGAAGAAUAAGCACCGGCUAACUACGUGCCAGCAGCCGCGGUAAUACGUAGGGUGCAAGCGUUAAUCGGAAUUACUGGGCGUAAAGCGUGCGCAGGCGGUUUUGUAAGACUGUCGUGAAAUCCCCGGGCUCAACCUGGGAAUGGCGAUGGUGACUGCAAGGCUAGAGUUUGGCAGAGGGGGGUAGAAUUCCACGUGUAGCAGUGAAAUGCGUAGAUAUGUGGAGGAACACCGAUGGCGAAGGCAGCCCCCUGGGUCAAAACUGACGCUCAUGCACGAAAGCGUGGGGAGCAAACAGGAUUAGAUACCCUGGUAGUCCACGCCCUAAACGAUGUCUACUAGUUGUCGGGUCUUAAUUGACUUGGUAACGCAGCUAACGCGUGAAGUAGACCGCCUGGGGAUACGGUCGCAAGNUUAAAACGUNAAAUUGAAUUGACGG
rnacentral:rRNA from 1 species